AUUGAACGCUGGCGGCAUGCCUUACACAUGCAAGUCGAACGGCAGCACGGGGGCAACCCUGGUGGCGAGUGGCGAACGGGUGAGUAAUGCAUCGGAACGUGCCCAGUAGUGGGGGAUAACCAGUCGAAAGACUGGCUAAUACCGCAUACGACCUACGGGUGAAAGCGGGGGACCGUAAGGCCUCGCGCUAUCGGAGCGGCCGAUGUCUGAUUAGCUAGUUGGCGGGGUAAGAGCCCACCAAGGCGACGAUCAGUAGCUGGUCUGAGAGGACGACCAGCCAAAAUGGGACUGAGACACGGCCCAGACUCCUACGGGAGGCAGCAGUGGGGAAUUUUGGACGAUGGGCGCAAGCCUGAUCCAGCCAUGCCGCGUGCGGGAAGAAGGCCUUCGGGUUGUAAACCGCUUUUGGCAGGAACGAAACGGCGCAAGCCAAUACCUUGCGCUAAUGACGGUACCUGCAGAAUGAGCACCGGCUAACUACGUGCCAGCCGCCGCAGUAACAC
rnacentral:rRNA from 1 species